AUUAGUUUCAAUUGAUUGAUUUGAUUGAUUGAUGGAUUUAGUUGAUUGAUUGGUUGUUUAAUUAGUGUACCGUACAAAAAAGAGUAACAUAAAACAGCUAAAAUUACGAAAAAGAAUAGUAAAACCGCUAAAGGAAUCACAAUACCCGUAUUGGUAUCAGAACACACACCCAUUGCACUUCUGGGAAGAGAUGCAUUGUGCAGGUUGAACUGUGUGAUAAAAUGUACACCGGACGGCUGUCUGGUGGAGGUACCAAGUGAACCGAUUUUCAAGAUGGCCUGAAGCUUGUCCAACUAAGCAGAGGGAUGCUCAGUCAUUUGCCAAGUUUUGCCAAAGUUUUUAUGUAGAAAGGUUAUAAGCAGGUGGGGGCUUCCAGUUUGGAUAUCCUCAGGUAAUGGUAAAGAGUUCGUUGACAAAACAGUAAAAUUGAUCUUGUAACAAAUUGUGAAUAAGACAGUGUCUUGGUGCUGUUUAUCACCCGCAGAGUCAAGGAAUGUGUGAAAAUUAAUGGGGUUUUUGAAAAUCAUAUUCUUCAUGUAUAAUAUACUUAUAGUUGUAACAUUUAUUUCUAGUUAUUUAGUAGGGGUACGGUAGUGAUUGGGGUUAAAGAGGGGUAGUAGUCAAUGCAAUUCAUAUGUUUGCAGGAACGUUAUAUUGGGUAUAGAAAUUGUAUUGAUGUUUUCAAAUGAUAUGUGUUAUUUCUGCAAAGAUACUGGUUGGUGUUUUCUGUUUCCCUCAGAACAACAGUGGGGGAGGACCGCCAUGAGGGUGGUCGAUGAUUCAAGGAUCCCAAGCUGUUAGAGGGAUUCAGAGACACCGAUAA